rnacentral:rRNA from 1 species
GAUGAAUGCUGGCGGUAUGGAUAAGGCAUGCAAGUCGAGGGCACCGCAAGGUGACCGGCAGACGAGGUAGUAACACGUAGGAACGUACCCCGAAGUCAGGGAUAGCCAGCCGAAAGGUUGGGUAAUACUUGAUGGUCUCGCGAGAGUAAAGAUUUAUCGCUUCGGGAGCGGCCUGCGCAAUAUCAGCUAGUUGGUAGGGUAACGGCCUACCAAGGCUACGACGUUUAGGGGAGCUGAGAGGCUGACCCCCACCGAUGGGACUGAGAUACGGCCCAUACGCCUACGGGCGGCCGCAGUCGAGAAUCUUCCGCAAUGGACGCAAGUCUGACGGAGCGAUACCGCGUGAAGGACGAAGUGCUUCGGCACGUAAACUUCUUUUGUCAGGGACGAAAUUAUUGACGGUACCUGAAGAAUAAGGGGCUCCUAACUCUGUGCCAGCAGGAGCGGUAAUACAGAGGCCCCAAGCAUUAUCCGGAAUCACUGGGCGUAAAGGGUGUCGAGGCGGCC